GAUGAACGCUGACAGAAUGCCUAACACAUGCAAGUCAACUUGAACUUCGGUUUGGGUGGCGGACGGGUGAGUAACGCGUAAAGAACUUGCCUCACAGAUAGGGACAACAUUUGGAAACGAAUGCUAAUACCUGAUAUUAUGAUUUUAGGGCAUCCUAGGAUUAUGAAAGCUAUAUGCGCUGUGAGAGAGCUUUGCGUCCCAUUAGCUAGUUGGAGAGGUAACGGCUCACCAAGGCGAUGAUGGGUAGCCGGCCUGAGAGGGUGAUCGGCCACAAGGGGACUGAGACACGGCCCUUACUCCUACGGGAGGCAGCAGUGGGGAAUAUUGGACAAUGGACCAAGAGUCUGAUCCAGCAAUUCUGUGUGCACGAUGAAGUUUUUCGGAAUGUAAAGUGCCUUCAGUUGGGAAGAAAAAAAUGACGGUACCAACAGAAGAAGUGACGGCUAAAUACGUG
rnacentral:rRNA from 1 species